AAUUUCCAGCAACAAUUCUAUUUUGUUAUAUUGGCAGAACAGAGUUAUCUCGUUUGUCCCCUCCUGUUGUUUUGCUUCCAUCUACUCUUCAAACAUACAGAAAGAAGAGGACAAUUUUGUCCUUGUACGAAAUUAAAACUAAGCUAUUUUAAUUUGAUGCACUCAUUUAUUCUGCACUUGUUCUUCCAACCAAAUGCUAAAACACUAUUUAUUUUGUGGAA
rnacentral:lncRNA from 1 species